UAUAAUGAAGUGAGCCUUCGUCCCUCGGGUGAACCCAUUUUGCCUGUUAUUUAAUGCAGUGUUAAAGUCAUCCUUACCCUCUUUUUUUUCUCUCGAGGAGUCCAAGCAGAUUUCCCAGACAACAUCCCCUUAAGCCAGCGUGAGUUGGCAUUGCACAGUGGCCUGUGGAGCUUGGUCAUGUCAGUGAGCCAAAUGUUUUGCGACAGGACAGGACUUGAUGCCAACAUAAGUGACUCAAAUGCGACUCCAAAAUUAUUUCCGAUGGCUAUAUUAAAUUUCCCCCGUGCUUGGAUUUAAAUAAACCAAUAUAUUGUA